CGAAGAUCACAAAUGACAAGGAUAUACCAAUUGAAGGUGAUGCAAUUGUUAAGCAGCUUUUGGCUCUGCAAAUUAAUGCUGAGAAAUACUUUUUUGGCAUAAGGAAGAGCCUGGUAGAGUUCGAUGAAGUGCUGGAGGU